GCGGCAGAGUUCAAGCAGCUUCAGUCAGAUUUCUGGGACUCCUGAAACUCUAAAUGUUUUCACAGUAACACAUGAAAAGCAAGAGCAAAAAGAGAAAUGUGGUGCUGCUCACAGCUUUUCUGAAGCCAGCAGUGUGGAUCCGGCUGUUGGUCUGGAGAUGUUUUCCCAGACUGAAAACUCACACCUGCCUAAGGACUGUUUUGGAGAAAAUUGUGGUAAAUGUUUCCCAUGUUGUGUAGUGGAUAUCACCAAGUUUCCAGGCAGAAAUUGGUGGAACUUGAGGAAAACCUGCUACAGAAUUGUUAACCAUAGCGGGUUUGAGUAUUUUAUGGUUUUUGUGAUAGUAUUGAGCAGUGCA